AAUGGUGAGUAGUUGCGGCUUAUGUGCAAGCAUAAGUUGAGGAAAGUCCAGGCUCGCCCGGAGCUGAGAUGCCCGGAGUGUUCGUGCCACUCGCAAGGGUGGGCAGUUAAUCUUCAUGGUUAGCUGACGGCGGUGAAAUCAUGCUAAGUUCUUCUUUGAGGGAUAUGCUGAGAGUAACCUGAAAGUGCCACAGUGACGAUUACUUUCUUGGAAACGAGAAAGGUGGAACGGGUAAACCCCACGAGCGAGCAACCCAAACUUACGGUAGGGGCACCGUCCUGCGGGAACAAUAGGAACCAAAGGGACGGAUCGGUUCAUCACGAAUCGAUAGUUAAAUGACUGCACCUGUAGUGCGAGAGUGGCAUCGCUUGAAGCACGCAGGAACAAAACCUGGCUUACAGCC
rnacentral:RNase_P_RNA from 1 species